rnacentral:rRNA from 1 species
CUGGCGGCGUGCCUAACACAUGCAAGUCGAACGAGAAAGUGGAGCAAUCCAUGAGUAAAGUGGCGACCGGGUGAGUAACACGUGACUAACCUGCCUUCGAGUGGGGGAUAACCUCGGGAAACCGGGGCUAAUACCGCAUGAUGCCUUCGGGUUAAAGAAGCAAUUCGCUUGAAGAGGGGGUCGCGGCUGAUUAGCUAGUUGGUGAGGUAACGGCUCACCAAGGCGAUGAUCGGUAGCCGGCCUGAGAGGGCGCACGGCCACACUGGAACUGAAACACGGUCCAGACUCCUACGGGAGGCAGCAGUGGGGAAUUUUGCGCAAUGGGGGAAACCCUGACGCAGCAACGCCGCGUGGAAGAUGAAGUCCCUUGGGACGUAAACUCCUUUCGACCGGGACGAUGAUGACGGUACCGGUGGAAGAAGCCCCGGCUAACUUCGUGCCAGCAGCCGCGGUAAUAC